UAAUAAUAAUUUUACUAGCUUAUAAGCUUUAUGAAUAUUUUAUGUUUAAAUUUUGUUUUGUGUAGGAAACAUAAAGAUGCAAUAAGGAAGAAUAAAUUUUAGCAAAUAAUAUUUGUGCAUUCUUUGAUCAAAAAGUAAGAUAUAAAGUAAUAUUGAAGAUUACUUAAUAUUGAAGAUUAAAUUUCGACUGCAAACUUAUGACUUCUGAGAAAUAAAUACAUUUACAAAAUUUAUUAAAAAAUUUCUAAAAGAAGCAGAAUUGGAGCUAGGCACAGAAAAGACGAAAAUAGUAGUAUUCGAAAAAAGAAGAAACAAAAGGAGACANAAGAAAAUGGAAUUGGGGAGAGCAAGAACUAGAAGAAGUGGAGGAGAUAAGAUACCUAGGGUACAUACUACAGAAAAACGGCAGCGAUGAGAGGCACAUACAGGACAGGAAAAGGAGAGCGAUGAUAGCAAUGAAGAAAACAUGGAGCAUGGGAGAAAGAAUAUUCAAACAGGACUACGAGAGGAGAAUGAAGAUGUUUUAAGCACUAGUAGAGAGCGUGGCGCUGUUUGGAGCAGAGGUAUGGGGUUGGAACAUGGAAGAAUCGCUGGAUAGGGUAAAAAGAGGGUAUGUAAAAUGGAUCUUAGGUUUAGACAGGACAACACCAAACUACAUACUGACAGAAGAAUGCAAGAUAGAGGAAAUCAAGGUAAAAGCGUUAAAAAGAGCAGUAAGGUACGAGGAAAGAACUCUAGAAUCGGAAAAGGAGCUGGUAAAAGAGUGUAUAAAGGAGAGAGAGAGAGAAACUGGGGAAAUGGACAGGAAGGGAAAAGAGCAAGAAAGAGAAAGAAGGAUCUAGAAGAGGUGAGAAACGGAGAGACACAAAGGGAAGCAGGAGGGGAGCAAGUAAGUUGGACUGGAGACCAAAUUGUAG